rnacentral:lncRNA from 1 species
AUGAAUGAAGCUAGAGUGAGUGUGGCUGCAGCGUUUGCUCCCGGGAGUGAGGUGGAGGAAGAGCAUGGAAAGAUGAAUGGAAUCAUCACACUCAGCUCCCAGGGACAGCCAGUGUCUUCAGAAGUGGUGGAGGAAGCAUCAGAAUACCCCCUGCUGGCCAAAGGUGCAAAUCUGCAGUAUGUGCCCUGGCCAACCAUGGAUCUGGAGGGGCUGGUACAAAGACUGCCCUGUCUGCAUGAUGGGGCAGGGAAGUGGAUUGCAGCUUUCGAAGAAGAGACCAUCGCCACUAUCCUGGCUAUGGGUGACCUCAAGGCCCUCCUGGGAAAAGUGCUGGGGAAACAGGAAAUGGAGGAAACGCUGAGAGCAGCACAGAUGAACGCGUAUGCUGAAACACAGGCACACGAUGGAGAACUAUUCAAUAGACAUCGCAACGCGCUGUGGACAACCCUGAGACUGCGCUAUCCAACCAGAAUCCAGCCUGACAGUAUUGUGGCAGUGCCAAUAAAAGAUGAUGAGAGCCCACAAGCCUAUGUUCACCUCACACGUAAAGAAUGGAUAAGACAAACAGGUGGGAAGCCUGAUGAGGACAUUUUCCAUAGGCAGGCUCUGAGGAAGAGGAUUGUUGACGGGCUGCCACUCCCGGCACAGAGUAAGCUGGGUGAUGCAGUGGGACUCUACACCAUGCCCUUUGAACAAUUCACAGAUCACGUGAUAGAUGCUGUGACCAAAGUUCGCUCUGCUGUGCUCCGUCAGAAGCAGCAGGACGAGCAGGCAGUGAGAAAGCUGACCCAGCAGCAGCUCACAGAAGGGAAAAAGAAAAUACAAGCUGUGGUCCAACACGCACCCCCACCCCCAGGGGCGGCCCCAGCGGCUGUCCAGCCACAAGUGAUCUAUGUCCAGCCAGACGGAGGGAGAGGAGGCCCAUCCAGAAUGAGAGGAGGGAGCAUGGCUGGCAGAGGCAGAGGAACGGGGGAGAGACGGGGAAAUGCAGUAAAGUGUUACUAUUGUGGAAAAGUUGGGCACAUAAGGCGAUUUUGCUUUGAAUGGAUACGGGCCAUGUCUGGCCAGAACCCACAGGGAGCGGGACGGCAGAUGGGACCCACCAGUCCAUGGCGGGUUCCCCCUGCUGGCUACUAG